UACGUAGGAUGCAAGCGUUGUCCGGAAUUAUUGGGCGUAAAGAGCUCGUAGGCGGUUCGUCGCGUCGGCUGUGAAAACCUGAGGCUCAACCUCAGGCCUGCAGUCGAUACGGGCGGACUUGAGUACUGCAGGGGAGACUGGAAUUCCUGGUGUAGCGGUGAAAUGCGCAGAUAUCAGGAGGAACACCGGUGGCGAAGGCGGGUCUCUGGGCAGUAACUGACGCUGAGGAGCGAAAGCGUGGGGAGCGAACAGGA
rnacentral:rRNA from 1 species